rnacentral:rRNA from 1 species
AAAACGACUCUCGGCAACGGAUAUCUCGGCUCUCGCAUCGAUGAAGAACGUAGCGAAAUGCGAUACUUGGUGUGAAUUGCAGAAUACCGUGAACCAUCGAGUCUUUGAACGCAAGUUGCGCCCGAAGCCUUUAGGCCGAGGGCACGCCUGCCUGGGCGUCACA